rnacentral:rRNA from 1 species
ACGAGUCUCACGAACGUUAUUCGGAAUUACUGGGCUUAAAGGGUGCGUAGGCGGUGGAGUAAGUCGGAUGUGAAAUACCAUAGCUUAACUAUGGAACUGCACUCGAUACUACUUUGCUAGAGUAAGACAGAGGUGAGUGGAACUGAGGGUGGAGCGGUGAAAUGUGUUGAUAUCCACAGGAACACCGGUGGCGAAGGCGACUCACUGGGUCUUUACUGACGCUGAUGCACGAAAGCUAGGGUAGCAAACGGGA